rnacentral:rRNA from 1 species
AAACCGUACCCGACUAGUAGGAAGUACUUUCCGUUACGGUAGGGUCGGACUACUACUUUAGUUUAAGGAAAGUAGUAAGGAAAGGGCAAUCCGCUGAAGGACGGGACCGCGUCCCAUUAGCUAGAUGGUGGGGUAAUGGCCUACCAUGGCAACGAUGGGUAGCUGGUUUGAGAGAGCGACCAGCCACACUGGGACUGAGACACGGCCCAG